rnacentral:rRNA from 1 species
UACGUAGGUGGCGAGCGUUGUCCGGAUUUACUGGGCGUAAAGAGCGCGCAGGCGGUCGUUCAAGUCGCGUGUGAAAGCCCCCGGCUCAACUGGGGAGGGUCACGCGAUACUGAUCGACUCGAAGGCAGGAGAGGGAAGUGGAAUUCCCGGUGUAGUGGUGAAAUGCGUAGAUAUUGGGAGGAACACCAGUGGCGAAGGCGGCUCACUGGACCGGUACUGACGCUGAUGCGCGAAAGCGUGGGGAGCAAACAGG